rnacentral:rRNA from 1 species
AAUUGAAUGCUAAAAGAAUGGAAUAUCAAAGAAUAACUUUCUUAAAAUUAAAAAUUGAAAUUUUUUUAAUUUGUGUAAAAACAAUUAUAUAAAUUAAAGACAAGAAGACCCUAAGAAUUUUUAAAAUUUAAAUUAACACAUUUUUGUUUUAAUUAAAUUUUAACUGGGGCGGUUAAAAAAUAUUAAAAACUUUUUAAUUUUGAAAAUGACCCAUUAUUAAUGAAAAUAUGAUAAAAUACUCUAGGGAUAACAGCGUUAUAUUUUUUGAUAGAUCAUAUUGACAAAAAAGUUUGCGACCUCGAUGUUGGAUUAGGAUACUUUUUUAAUGAAGAUAUUAAAAUAAGAAGUUUGUUCAACUUUUAAAUUCCUACUUGAUC